rnacentral:rRNA from 3 species
UACGUAGGGUGCAAGCGUUGUCCGGAAUUAUUGGGCGUAAAGAGCUCGUAGGCGGUUUGUCGCGUCUGCUGUGAAAAUCCAGGGCUUAACCCUGGACCUGCAGUGGGUACGGGCAGACUAGAGUGCGGUAGGGGAGAUCGGAAUUCCUGGUGUAGCGGUGAAAUGCGCAGAUAUCAGGAGGAACACCGGUGGCGAAGGCGGAUCUCUGGGCCGUAACUGACGCUGAGGAGCGAAAGCAUGGGGAGCGAACAGG